rnacentral:rRNA from 1 species
UGACCUCGGAUCAGGUAGGGUUACCCGCUGAACUUAAGCAUAUCAAUAAGCGGAGGAAAAGAAACCCAACCA